rnacentral:rRNA from 1 species
UAACUAGGAUUUCCUUAGUAGCGGCGAGCGAACAGGAAAUAGCCCAGCACUGAAUCCCGCCGUUGUAACGGCGGCGGGAGAUGUGGUGUUCGGGAGGUUCCGCUUUCUUGUCGUCGUCCACUCCUGUCCAAGUUCGUCUUGAACGGGGCCCAUUUCCCAUAGAGGGUGCCAGGCCCGUAGCGACGGMGGACUUCGGCGAGAGGAACUCUCCUCAGAGUCGGGUUGCUUGAGAGUGCAGCCCUAAGUGGGUGGUAAACUCCAUCUAAGGCUAAAUAUUACCGCGAGACCGAUAGCGAACA